rnacentral:tRNA from 1 species
GAUAAGGUCAGCUAAUAAAGCUUUCGGGCCCAUACCCCGAACAUGACGGUUAAAAUCCCUCUCCUAUCA